rnacentral:rRNA from 1 species
AUUGAACGCUGGCGGAAUGCUUUACACAUGCAAGUCGAACGGUAGAGGGGGCAACCCCUCGAGAGUGGCGAACGGGUGAGUAAUAUAUCGGAACGUGCCCAGUCGUGGGGGAUAACGUAGCGAAAGUUACGCUAAUACCGCAUACGAUCUAAGGAUGAAAGCGGGGGAUAGCAAGACCUCGCGCGAUUGGAGCGGCCGAUAUCAGAUUAGGUAGUUGGUGGGGUAAAGGCUCACCAAGCCAACGAUCUGUAGCUGGUCUGAGAGGACGACCAGCCACACUGGAACUGGGACACGGUCCAGACUCCUACGGGAGGCAGCAGUGGGGAAUUUAGGACAGUGGACGUAAGUCUGAUCCAGCCAUGCCGCAUGCAGGAUGAAGGCCCUCGGGUUUUGAACUGCUUUUGUACGGAACGAAAAGGUCUCUCUUAAUACGGGGGGCUAAUGACGGUACCGUAAGAAUAAGCACCGGCUAACUACGUGCCAGCCGCCGCCGCCG